UUAAACUUCAGAUAUCUUCUGUCUGGUUAUGAGUGAUCAUGCAGAAGUUUUGUGUUCGGUGACGACAGAAAUGCUCGUCACUGUAAACAAGCAUCAAGGCUAAUUUUUACUCCCAUUACUCCUACAGUGAUGGCGAGUGGUAAUUUUGGCCCCUGCAUCUUUCUGAAGAUCAUAAUCCGCUUCCCUUCAGACGUGAAAGAGCUUCCUGAAGCAGCACCUGCAAACUUCCUGUGCUGCAGACGCACCGAGCGGAGCUGAAGCUGAUGAAUGGCUCUGUAUCGUGCGUCCGUGGGGUUUGCUGUCAGCCAGACACAAGCUGCACCGUUUCCUGAGAAAGGCCUGCAUUUGUCCACAAAUUCCCAGCAAAGCAUGCAUGAAUUUAAAUCUGGUAACGUU
ensembl:lncRNA